GCGGCCGCCGGACUCUCCCCUCGCCUGGCCGGGCCGGCCGGGGCCCCACGCUCCCGCGCCCGCGAUCACCGAGCGUGAGACUGGCCGAGCCCGCGGGCGCGCGAGCUGCUUCCCGGGGGCGGACUGCUCGCGCCUUCCUUCUGGAUCCACCUCCUCCCACCCCACCUCUUUCCCCUCCCCUCCCGGGGGACGCUCGGGGGCGAGGAGUUUUCGGUCUGCAGUCACCCAGCCCCGGGAGCCAAGCUAGAAGAGGAAGACGGGUCGGGAUAAGGGUGGUGCUCCCCAGGCGCCUCGAAACCUGGGCACCCGCUAGCCCUCUCGUCCCCGCUCCCCGACGCCGGGCACACAACUCCGGCCGCUUCCCGAGCGCCGCUCCAGAAGCAGGCACAGCCCCGCAGCUGUCUGCGGGACAGGUCUUGGGGAACAGCGGCCCCUUUUCUGCAGCGGGUGGGGCGAGAAGCUACGGGAUGUGGGGCUUCCAGAUAAGGGAGUGUCCCCGCCCGCCACACUGAAAGGGCUACUGAGCGAUUUAGGCGCGGCUAGCGGAACCGAGCGGCGGUGGCUGAGCUUUCCCCACGCUCCCGUCACUCGGGCUCAGCCGCCAGCCCCGCGGCAGCCGCUCCACACCCCACUCCCAGCCUGGGCUCAGACCCGAACGCCUGGCUCCGCCCUGUUGUGCCUCAUAACAUCUCCCGCUGCAAACCGCCCAAUCCGGUAACGCUGCGAGAGUAUGCGAGCCAAUCAGGUCCUACGGGCUCGUCUUCUGCCCCGCCCCUCAGCCGCCCCUUCCCAUCCCCACCCCAUCUCGGGAGGUGGCUCACCAGCUCUGAUCCCCAGAGGAGCCUCUAGUUGUGGCAGUGGUGCUUGGCACCUCUUCACCCCAGUCCUCUCCCCAUCUUAUGCACAUACCCCCUCCAGGUCUAUGUCCUGCUAAUGCUGUUGAUGGUCAUUUCGAUCCUCACUUCGGCAGGGGACUGACAGCUUUUGUGUCUGAUCAACUGUCACCACCAUCCCGAAAGAACAGAACAAAAACCAAGACGCUGUGGGACGUGUUACCUUUUUCAUCUUGGCUACAAUUACCUUCUAAAGACUCCUCCCGUUUUCCACACCCAUCGCCUAGGGUCCUGUUUCUUGUGGAGGUUUUCAAAAGAGCACUCAGGAGCUGGUAAAGAACCUGAACCUUAGUUUAUUUAUAGUUCCUUACAGUGAAAGAGGCCAGACAGAAUUUACAACCAAAUCCAGACAGAAUUUACCACCAAAUCUUGACAUUAGAGGAGAGAAAUUAACUAGAUCAUUUUUUCAGUAGCUAUGAAAUAUGUAAGGUGUAACUGCCCCUAACCAAAUUAACCAGUAGCCAAGGGUGAUAAAUAAUAAAUAAAUGAAAAUAGAGCCUA